rnacentral:rRNA from 1 species
GAGUUUGAUCCUGGCUCAGAACGAACGCUGGCGGCGUGCCUAACACAUGCAAGUCGAACGUGACCCAGAGCUUGCUCUGGUGAAAGUGGCGCACGGGUGAGUAACGCGUGGAUAACCUACCCUGGUAUCCGGGAUAACAUUCCGAAAGGGGUGCUAAUACCGGAUAAGCCCACGGGCUCUUUGGAGCUUGCGGGAAAAGGUGGCCUCUAUUUAUAAGCUACUGUAUCAGGAUGGGUCCGCGUACCAUUAGCUAGUUGGCGGUGUAACGGACCACCAAGGCGACGAUGGUUAGCUGGUCUGAGAGGAUGAUCAGCCACACUGGAACUGAGACACGGUCCAGACUCCUACGGGAGGCAGCAGUGGGGAAUUUUGCGCAAUGGGGGAAACCCUGACGCAGCAACGCCGCGUGAGUGAUGAAGGCCUUUGGGUCGUAAAGCUCUGUCAGAGGGGAAGAAAUGAUAUAGUGCUAAUACCACUUUAUCUUGACGGUACCCUCAAAGGAAGCACCGGCUAACUCCGUGCCAGCAGCCGCGGUAAUAC